rnacentral:rRNA from 1 species
UACAGAGGGUGCAAGCGUUAGUCGGAGUUACUGGGCGUAAAGGGCGUGUAGGCUGAUAUCUAAGUCGGUUGUGAAAUACCUGGGCUUAACCUGGGAAUUGCAUUCGAUACUGGAUAUCUAGAGUAUGGUAGAGGAAAGUGGAAUUCUCGGUGUAGUGGUUAAAUACGUAGAUAUCGAGAAGAACAUCGGUGGCGAAGGCGGCUUUCUGGACCAAUACUGACGCUGAGGCGCGAAAGCGUGGGGAG